rnacentral:rRNA from 1 species
UAUUUGAUAGUACCUUACUACUUGGAUAACCGUGGUAAUUCUARAGCUAAUACAUGCUAAAAACCCCAACUUCGGGAGGGGUGUAUUUAUUAGAUAAAAAACCAACGCCCUUCGGGGCUUCUUGGUGAUUCAUGAUAACUUUACGGAUCGCAUGGCCUUGCGCCGGCGACGGUUCAUUCAAAUUUCUGCCCUAUCAACUUUCGAUGGUAAGGUAUUGGCUUACCAUGGUUUCAACGGGUAACGGGGAAUUAGGGUUCGAUUCCGGAGAGRGAGCCUGAGAAACGGCUACCACAUCCAAGGAAGGCAGCAGGCGCGCAAAUUACCCAAUCCCGACACGGGGAGGUAGUGACAAUAAAUACUGAUACAGGGCUCUUUUGGGUCUUGUAAUUGGAAUGAGUACAAUUUAAACCUCUUAACGAGGAACAAUUGGAGGGCAAGUCUGGUGCCAGCAGCCGCGGUAAUUCCAGCUCCAAUAGCGUAUAUUAAAGUUGUUGCAGUUAAAAAGCUCGUAGUUGAAACUUGGGUCUGGCUGGCAGGUCCGCCUCACCGCGUGUACUUGUCCGGCCGGGCCUUCCUUCUGGAGAACCUCAUGCCCUUCACUGGGCGUGUUGGGGACCAGGACUUUUACUUUGAAAAAAUUAGAGUGUUCAAAGCAGGCCUUUGCUCGAAUACGUUAGCAUGGAAUAAUAGAAUAGGACGUGCGGUCCUAUUUUGUUGGUUUCUAGGACCGCCGUAAUGAUUAAUAGGGACAGUCGGGGGCAUCAGUAUUCAAUUGUCAGAGGUGAAAUUCUUGGAUUUAUUGAAGACUAACUACUGCGAAAGCAUUUGCCAAGGAUGUUUUCAUUAAUCAGUGAACGAAAGUUAGGGGAUCGAAGACGAUCAGAUACCGUCGUAGUCUUAACCGUAAACUAUGCCGACUAGGGAUCGGGCGAUGUUCUUUUUCUGACUCGCUCGGCACCUUACGAG